GACGAACGCUGGCGGCGUGCUUAACACAUGCAAGUCGAACGGAAAGGCCCUGCUUUUGUGUGGUUCUCGAGUGGCGAACGGGUGAGUAACACGUGUGUAACCUGCCCUUGACUUUGGGAUAACUUCAGGAAACUUGGGCUAAUACCGGAUAUGAGCUCCUGCUGCAUGGUUGUGGUUGGAUAGUUUCGGCGGUUGGGUAUUGACUCGCGGCUUAUCAGCUUGUUGGUUGGGUAGUGGCUUACCAAGGCUUUGACGGGUAGCCGGCCUGAGAGGGUGACCGGAAACAUUAGGACUGAGAGACGGACCAGACUCGAACGGGAGGCAGCAGUGGGGAAUAUUGCACAAUGGGAGGAAGCCUGAUGCAGAAACGCCGCGUGCGGGAUGAAGGCCUUCGGGUUGUAAACCGAUUUAGCAUGUGACGAAGCGUGAGUGACGGUAAUGGGUAAAGAAGCACCGGCUAACUACGUG
rnacentral:rRNA from 1 species